ACAAAAAUGAAAACGCUGUAGGGAGGAAAAGGCAGGAACCUGUCCUUGCCCCCAAAGAGCGUCAACAAGAGGACGUUCCUCCCCACACCGUCGUGGACAGAGGCCGAGGGUCAGCUUUAGGCUUUCAGAAGUGGAUACCUCUUCAUGAACUAGUAAUGGUUUUCCUUCCAACACCCCCCAACUGGGCUGUUGUGGUCUCUGCAGUACAGAAUGAACUGUGCAGUCAUCUGGAAUGUUUUUCUUAAGGUUCACAUCAACCCUGGAGAGGGUCUAUGCUCUGGCACCUCACAUUAGUUUGGAUCAGGAUGACUCACUGAGAGCGAGUGUGAAGAAAGUCAUUCCUCCAAGCCGGUACCUUUGGGGUCCUGAAAUCCUUCUGCCCUUCCUUAGCGGGACCACAACACCCUGGCAUAACAUGGACCCCACAAGGGUCUCAAGACUCCCCAGGGCCAGGAUCUACUUCCACAGAAGGAGGGCAGGUGGGGCACUAAACACAGGGUUCUGACCUAAAGAUGAGGGAGGCGUGGAAUGAACACCCUUCAUCUCGGCCGCUGACUGAAUCAGGAAUCAAAGCAGAAAGAGGAGGAAAAGGAAUCCAAAUCUCAUUCCUUUUCAAUCCAAAAGAAUUUUAAGAGAGUUUUCUAAGAGCAGAAACUGCCACCAAGGCUGUAGGAGUCAGGCUAGCUGUGGUCUGUGACUGGUCUGACAAAGGCUAACUCUUACCCAGAUGUCCAAUAAAAACACUUAGCAAGGAUCAUUUCCAUAAGGCUUUGUCUACUCGAAACACAAGCCAAUUGUUUGGGUCCAAUUUAUGAAGCAAGGUCUUUGGAAGGUUAUGGGGUGAGGAGGCCUGAUGACAACUAAAUUGCCUUAAAUGGAGCUCAAAAUACCACCUUAAACAUUCUCCUCUCCUAAGAAAUGCUUCAUCAUAAAUCAAGAGGCUCAAAACGUAUUAAAAAUGACAAAUAGAGCAAGCACUUACAUUUCAUUUUUUUCUUUUAAUUCACCAAUGCAUCAAAGAUUUCUGAAGGAUAUUAUUCCGCACAAAAGAGAUGAAGUGCACCAGGAAUGCAAGAUUUCAGGGAUAAAAGAGGAGAUUAAAAAUCAAAUGGUGGACCAGACUUAAUGCUGAAAAUUAUUCUGAGAAUAGACAUACUCAUUUUAGCACCAGGACAUGAGGAUGGUCUGUUCCGAACUUGUAAGGCGUGGUGAAUCUCACAAUAACUGGACACAUGUUUUUCAUCUUAGAAGAACUUAUGAAUCCAUUUUAACGCAUUAAAGUUCAUGGGUACUAUUUGUCCACAAGUGAGCUUUCUCCUCCCUUUCCCCACCAUGCAUACUUUAAUGGGGUUUUGAUUCAAUGGGGGGGAAAAAACC
rnacentral:lncRNA from 1 species